rnacentral:rRNA from 1 species
UACGUAGGGUGCGAGCGUUAAUCGGAAUUACUGGGCGUAAAGCGUGCGCAGGCGGUUCGUUAAGUCAGAUGUGAAAGCCCCGGGCUCAACCUGGGAACUGCAUUUGAAACUGGCGGGCUUGAGUGUGGCAGAGGGGGGUGGAAUUCCGCGUGUAGCAGUGAAAUGCGUAGAGAUGCGGAGGAACACCGAUGGCGAAGGCGACACGCUGGGCCGUACCUGACACUGAUGCGCGACAGCAUGGGGAGCAAACAGG